GUUCACUUCUACUUUUGGAUUUUGAAGAAUUAAUUUGUGAUUCGUGACCCAUUUUGCAUCAGUGAUAUAUAUAGUUGGUUAAUCGGUCGAAGAUUAAUUUAACCAGAGGCGGCGACGUUUGCUGCCAUUGCUGCCUGGGCCAGAACUUCGGCGGCGUGGGGUCGGCGGCUGAGGGAGGGCAAUAUCCGGCAAUUCUCCGGGGACAGUGGUGGGGUCGGCCGACCCCACCUAGAUCCGCCGAUGAAAUUAACUCUUUAUUGCCGGCCAUAAUAUGACCAUUUAACAUCACUCUUUAUUUUAUAUCUACUUUAUAUCAACUUGACUAAUAUUUUAUUACAUUUUGGUGGACAUAUAACUGUGUGGUCGGCGGAUAUGAAGUCUUUGGAACAGAUGGU